rnacentral:rRNA from 1 species
UACGUAGGUGGCAAGCGUUGUCCGGAUUUACUGGGCGUAAAGAGCGCGCAGGCGGUCGUUCAAGUCGAGUGUGAAAGCCCCCGGCUCAACUGGGGAGGGUCACUUGAUACUGGUCGACUCGAAGGCAGGAGAGGGAAGUGGAAUUCCCGGUGUAGUGGUGAAAUGCGUAGAUAUCGGGAGGAACACCAGUGGCGAAGGCGACUUCCUGGCCUGUUCUUGACGCUGAGGCGCGAAAGCUAGGGGAGCAAACGGG